CCACCAACCAAGCACACCACACUACAUCACACCACACAGGCCCCCCAGUCUCACACACACACACACACACACACACACACACACACACACACAGAGCCCUAAUCACGUCUGAAAACGCCUUUCCACUGCCAGUGAAGCUGAAAAUAUCUUCAUAAACAAGAAUGCUGUAAUUCAGAAGUCAGUACUACCCUGGGUGGUGAAGUGGGUGGUGCUGCUGUCUCCCAGGUUCCUUGGUUUGAUCCUUACUAUCUGUGCAGAUGUUUGCAAUUCUCCCCGUGUCUGUGUGAGUUUCCUCAGGGUUCUCAGGUUUCCUCACACUGACCAAAAAUAUGGAUUUAGUAACAAGGAGCUAAGGUCAAGCUCUGAUAUGGAAAACGACAUGGAACAAAACAUCCAAUCUAUGCAUCAGUCUGAUGAACAGGAGUCAUACCGAUGGACGAUCCUCAAGGUAACUUCAGAAGCUUCCGCUGUUUUCUCUACGUCCUCUUGAGACAUCCGAAACCAUAUAUUAAAG
ensembl:lncRNA